rnacentral:rRNA from 1 species
GAUGAACGCUGGCGGCGUGCCUAACACAUGCAAGUCGAACGGAGAUUUAACGCUGAUGAAGCUUCGGCAGAUUCUUGUUAAAUCUUAGUGGCGGACGGGUGAGUAACGCGUGGGCAACCUGCCUCAUACUGGGGGAUAACAGCUGGAAACGACUGUUAAUACCGCAUAAGCGCACGGUAUCGCAUGAUACAGUGUGAAAAACUCCGGUGGUAUGAGAUGGGCCCGCGUCAGAUUAGCCAGUUGGCAGGGUAACGGCCUACCAAAGCGACGAUCUGUAGCCGGCCUGAGAGGGCGGACGGCCACAUUGGGACUGAGACACGGCCCAAACUCCUACGGGAGGCAGCAGUGGGGGAUAUUGCACAAUGGAGGAAACUCUGAUGCAGCGACGCCGCGUGAGUGAAGAAGUAUUUCGGUAUGUAAAGCUCUAUCAGCAGGGAAGAAAGACUCGUAAGAGAGAUGA